rnacentral:rRNA from 1 species
AUGUCCAAGAGCCGCAACAUAAGCCGCCUGCUUGCCGAGCAGGACGAGCAGCGUCUAGAGGGCCAGCGGCGGCGUCGGCAUGGGAGUUCUGAAGGCAAUGUCGAAGAGCAUGCUGCGGCAGAAACAGAGAUUGAGGAAGCAGAGGAGGAGGACGUGGACGAGGAGCAGCAGCAUGUUAGGAUGCAUGACGGCAAGUCGUACCGCAUCACCUUCCCGGACUUUCCCGGCGGGCCAGGCACCUUCGAGGCGGCGCCAAGUUCUGCUACGGCGUCCGCGUCGAGCUCACACCCUGGAACGUCGCCCUGCUGCGGUGCGCGGCCGAGUACCUGGAGAUGA